UUCACAUCUCUUGUACUUGGGCUUUGUGGAACAUUUUCAAGCUUUGGGUCUAUAGUUUUCUUCAAACUUGGAAAAUUUUUGGCAUUAGUUUCUUCAAAUAAUUUUUUGUCACCUACUCUCUUUCAGAAGCUCAAAUUACAUGAGUAUUGGGCCAUUUGAAGUUGUCCCACAGCUCUUUUAAUUUUUAGUAAGCCUCUGCCUCUGGACUGUGAACUUCACAAGUGUUUCUUAGUUUUUUUCUCCUCCCUCCUCUUUAGGUGGGACAGGAUGGCUGGAGUGGGCUGGAGUUGGGUAUUUCCCUUCCUUCAGGUCAGUUAGGCUCUAAUAAUAUCCACCUGGUUAGGCUCUGUUAACUAGUUUCUCUUGAGGGCAGGCCUUAUUAAGAAGAGUGCUCUGGGAUGUUUAAAAAUGGUUCCUUUUCCUCUCUCCAUUCUAGACGUCUGAUGAGAUUUUUGUCAGCUAUUUACUGUGAGAACCUGGACGAGCUCCUGGAGGAAGAUCAAAGUGGUGUUUAGAGAAUGAUCAUGAAGUGAAUGCUGACUCCUUUCACGCCGUGACGAGUGUGAUGACUAAACAGGGGAGAAGACACUGAGUGCUGGGAGACGAAGAAACUGAAGCAGAAGGAAGGUAAAUGACUUACCUCAGGUCACACAGCUAAGGAGUGGGUAAGCUGGAAUCUGAACCCAGGAACCCUGGCUGCUCUGGAGCGAUUGAUACCCAGGAUAUGGUGAAGAAAGCCACUAUUCCAAUUUCCAGUUCCAGUUCCCUUCACACCCAGAUGUGCUUUGUUUCUUAUCUUGGAUUUUGUGCGGGUGUAUGUUAUAUGAUACAGCCUCCUUUUGUUGACCUAAUUUAAAUACACUUACAUUUGUUUCAUCAAAAAUAGCCUUAAUGAGACCUGCCAAAUUUUACUUAAAAAAAAAGUUCUAAUGUACCCUCUAAUUGGAAUGCCUUUUCCACCAUAUUUAUCUGUUGAAAUUGUACUAAUACUUCAUGAUCUAGCUCAAGUACUGCUUAUUUGUGGCUUUUCUGAAUUCCAGCUCCAAAUUAGCAUUGUUUUUCCUCCUCUUUGUUCUUAGUGCACUUCUCAGUCUAUUCAAGGACUUGAGAAUUUCUAGUUUUGAUAUUGUAAGUUCUGUACAUAUUUUCCAUAAUAUUACUUUGAACCAUAUGAAAUUGUCAACCUUCAAGUAUUUUCAAUUUAGGAAAAUGGCAAUUUCAUGUGGUUCAAUUUAAUAUAUUGGAAGGAAACUGAUUGACCCAGAGGUAGCUUAAUGAUCUUUUCACCCUGAAUAUCUGGUAGAUAGUAAGGUCUCAAUAAAUUUUGAUGGAAUUAACUAUUUCUGAGGAAUAAAAUCUUAGUAACUUGGCAGAAUUUUCCCCAAAUAUUCUCCUGGGGAUAAUAAAGUGUUCAGUAGAAGAAAUCCACCAUUCUCCCUGUUUUCUACUUCUGACAUUGUGUCCAUUUCCCCUACCCCCCCCCAAAAAAACCCCUAAAAGUAGUUAUUCAGUGUUCUGUGUGUGGAUAACCAAAACUGGAGACUUUAAUUUGUCUGCACAAGAUAAAACAAGUUCACAUUUACUAAAAGUACAUUUAUAAGGAUUUUUGAACUGUUGUUUUCUAGUAGUGUCCUGGUAAAUGGGUCAGAUUAUUACAAAUAAACAAGGUCCCAGUCUCUGAAGUUUAUGGAAUAGUGAGGGACCGCAUAUAAGUGCAGUUCUUGGAAAGGUCAGAAGAAUGGCACUUAUCAUGGGAGAUUUCACAAAGAAGUGGCUGAGUAGGAGUUAGUCAGAACUGGAAGGAAUAUGGGGUGUUGUCUUGCAUAAUAUUAUAGGCAGAGUGAAUAAAGAGCUUAUGAAAGCUUGGGAGAGUUGCAAAUAGAACCAUGUAGAUAGAAUAUAUGGGAUGCAGGGUGAGUUGGGGGAAAUGACAAAGAGGAGUCACUUGAACAUUUUAUGUAGGGUAUUAACAUUGCCAGAUUUGUGCUUUCUAAAGGUAAAAAAGAAAUGAGAAUGUAGAAACUGCUGAGUUAAAUGAACUGACCACUCUGACUAUAUUGCAAAGAAGGAUGAAAAGAGAGCUAGGGAGACCAGGUAGGUGAUUACUGCUAUGAUCUGAGCAAGGGCGAUGAGGAUCUUGAAUAAAGAUGUGGUCACUGAAACCAUUUGGAAAGUGGAUUCAAAUAAUAUAGGAAAGUAGAAUUGAUAGGAAUUGGAGAUCACUCAGAGUCUGGGAGUAAUCCCAUUUUUUGUUUUCUGCCAAUUAUAUCUAAGUAAUUUUUUUAUUUAAAAUAGGCAUGGAUCAUUUUGAGGUCAACUUAGUUGUGAAUGAUCCUUGCAACAAAGUCUUCUGUGAACUGAAUACUUUAUUCAAAAUAUGUAUACGUAGCCCAGAAUAAAUUGUUGCUUCUCCGGAGGCACUCUUGAAUGAAGUUUUAUAUAAAUUAAACAUUUCGUGAUGAUGAGCAAAACACACAUCAAAUUAAAACAUGCAACAAUAUUAAUUAAACAGAGGAAAGUUGUAAAUUGGUGUUGGCAUGCAUCUUCACUUUCAUUUAUUUUUAUGAAACUGCAUUAUUAAUGUUUCUUUUAAAAAUGAAUGAUGAAAUAGCAUUUUGUCAUUAAAAUAUGUGUGUCAAGCCUGCUGUCGUCAAAGAAGGUGAUUAUGCCACUGUUAUCAGAAACAAGCUGAGCCUGGAAGAGGCUUGUUUUGUCAGCUUCAUGUUUUGUUUUGUUUGUUUUUUUGAAUUAGCAGUAUGUAAUACUCAGAAAAAGGUGUUUUGUAUUUAUAUUUUUUGGCCUUUCAUUUGGUUGAAGUUGAAUAGCUUUUCUUAAAGAAUUAAAAACUUAAUUUCUUUACAACCAUUAAAGGAUAUUUGUCUUAAAAAAUCA
ensembl:lncRNA